UAUUCCUCUUGUUUUCAUUUUAUGACUGUAUGGAACCUAAGGGGGUGGAGAGCAGAUGCAUGGCUUCUGCAAGUAUCAGGCUGUACUCAUGGUCUCCAUGGAUUACCUCCUCAUACUUUGAAGUUGUUAAAUCAUUUUAGCUGAAACUUAAAAGGAGAAAAAAAAAAGGAAUCGGCCUGAGGCAAACAAGCAGAUAAAGUCUGCCAACUACGAACAUCUGAAAUCAAGACCUUAGGCUAUUUGCAGCUGCCAGAUUCACUGCCAGCUCUACUAGUACUAAGUUCUAGUAAGGGAGGGAGUGAAGCUGAGUUUCGUUUUCUUUUCUUCUGAGGCUGUCUGGGACUUUUAGUCCGAAGCGCAGGCUGGAGCCACUGGAUGACAUUUUGCAUCAGACUUUUAAGAUAUAACAAUUAGGUCAAAGAAUAAUCAGGAACUGCUGUUAUUCCUGGUAGAGAGAAGAAAUAAAGUUGACACUCCCACUGUACAAAGGUUACACAGAUACAAAAAUGUA